GGUGAGGAAAGUGCUGAGAAAACCCAAGACAGUGAUAGCAAAUUUAGAAGUCACAUGACAGUUAGUCCAGAAUUACAUUUAUUUGUGUAUGUAUUUACUUAUUUUUCCAGAGUGGAUUUCUUAUGAUUGGAUUUGUAAUAUACUGACUUUCAAACCAGCAAGUCCUUUUUAAAAAAUAAAAUACUGACAAGACUGACCAGCCUGUGCACUGUCUGGAUUGAUUACAGGAAGGCGUAUGACUCAAUGCCCCACAUAUGGAUCCUGGAAUGCCUAGAACUGAGGGGAUUGAACUACCAGAAGGCAACAUUGCAGACAAAGAGGACAGCUACAAGUACCUGGGCAUCCCACAGGCAAAUGGAAACAAUGAAGACACUGCUAGGCAAGCAGCAACCACCAACUACCUGCAGAGGGUCAGGCAAGUCCUGAGGAGUCAAGAACCAGAUCCAGGCUAUCAACACAUACGCCCUGCCCGGGCUGGGAUAGUAAGCUGGCCAAAGCAGGAGAUAGAAGCCACUGACAUCAAGACAAGAAAGCUCCUGACCAUGCAUGGAGGGUUUCAACCCAAGUCCAGCACCCUGAGGCUGUACGCUAAGCAGAAGGAAGGAGGCCAAGGACUGGGAGAAGAUGAUCUGCAGGAUCCUGCUGCUCAUCAUCCUCACCUCAUGUGUCUCUGGAUCAUUUGUAGUCAAUGUGACACAGACCUGCUAUCAGGCAGAGGAGAACCACAACAUCACACUGGAGUGGACGUUCACCACCAACAUGUUUUGUUUGUGUAAGUUUGGUCAGAAGGUUCCUUUGUAAGUGCGCAUGCGCCAUUAGCGUGCUGCCUGCUGUAACCCUAAUUUCCUCCGGGAUUAAUAAAGUAUUCUGAUUCUGAUUCAGACCUGAUGGAUCCUCUAAAUUCCUUUUUAUCAUCUGUGAACUGAUAGCUGAGGAUAAAGCUUUUGUCCUGCAUCAGUUUUCAGUUUUAUUUGUCAUAUGCAAGUUAGCACAGGGUCAGCAUUGCAAUGAAAUGUGUUUGACGAGCAGCAGUCACUCAGCAGCAUGGUACAGUAGAAGAAAAUAAAAUAAAAUAAUAAAAAAAAUAAAUAGAAAAAUAGUAAAGAGCAAAAUAUUUGAGAGACAUGGUAAAAGAGAAAAGAUGACUAAAUAUAUAUGUAUCUAUAAAUAUAAAUAUAUGUACACUAGUGAUUAAAUAAGAAAAUUUCGAAAAGAAAUAUGAUGGGGGG
ensembl:lncRNA